UGGCCUAUGAUGAUUAAUAGUUUUGCCUACAUUGUCUGAUUGUUUACAAUGAAGAGAAACCUACAGAUUUCUGAGGCCAA
rnacentral:snoRNA from 1 species